CCUACGGGGGACAGCAGUGGGGGAUAUUGCACAAUGGGGGAAACCCUGAUGCAGCGACGCCGCGUGGGUGAAGAAGCGCCUCGGCGCGUAAAGCCCUGUCAGCAGGGAAGAAAAUGACGGUACCUGAAGAAGAAGCCCCGGCUAACGACGUGCCAGCAGCCGCGGGAAUACGUAGGGGGCAAGCGUCAUCCGGAUUGACUGGGUGUAACGGGGGCGCAGCCGGCGAUGCAAGCCAGGAGUGAAAGCCCGGGGCCCACCCCCGGGACUGCUCUUGGAACUGCGUGGCUAGAGUGCAGGAGGGGCAGGCGGACUUCCUGGUGUAGCUGUGACAUGCGUAGAUAUCAGGAGGAACACCGGUGGCGAAGGCGGCCUGCUGGACUGCAACUGACGUUGCGGCCCGAAAGCGUGGGGAGCAAACAGGAUUAGAUACCCCUGUAGUC
rnacentral:rRNA from 1 species